GCGGAUGGAGCCGGUUAGGACUGGCAGCACGCCCCACGUGACGACAGCGGGUUCGAAUCCCGUCAUCCGCU
rnacentral:tRNA from 1 species